CCUCUUGUUUAAGUUUCUGCCUGUAGGCAGGGAUCAACAAAAUGGAGUGGUGGUAGAAGCCUCCUGGGAUUAUAAUCUUGGGGAGAGUGGGGGAGAGAGCGGCCAUAAACGACCAAAUUGAAAAAGGUCUGGAAGUCUUGAUUAUCCAUUAAGGUGAACUACAGGUGAAGUCACUCAAUCCAGUCCCAGAGGCUUGUUGGGGGGACCAUACCAAGGACUCCUGGUGACGGCUAGCUGAAAGAGCUACCCGGAUUCAUAUCGCACGGCGGGAAGACACCCUGACCCUGUCGAAAAAUAAACAGUGUUCGAGAGGAGAACUGGAAUUAACAGAAUUCCGGGGGCCAUCUUUCGAAUGAAGAAAAUCCUUCCUGUUUUUUCAUCCCUGUUUUUGUUCAUAGAAGUGAAGGUGUGUCUGGCUCUUGCUAAGUGAUGUGUUCUCGGGGAGAGGGUGGGGCUUCACAUGGAAGCUGUUCGUCUGAGCUGUCUUAUCGUGGGUGACAUAUUCCUGAUACAGCACGUCCUACUUGAGUAUGCGGAGAGUGGUAAUUUGACCCAUGGUUUAGACGAUGAGGAUUUUGUUCCAAAAUAAGCAUAAGAUCCCUAGAUCUGGGUAGACAGGAAGUUAGAGUAGAGGUUGGGAAGGAUCUCUCAAUGGCGUUUUAUGUAGACCAAAAUGGGGUCUCUAACUACAUGGCAGUCUAGGACUCUGAGCCAUUAUGGCAUAUAUCGGUGCAGGUUCCCAUAUUGAUCGUGGACACAGGUCAUAGCUCAUUUGGAGAGAGAGGGCUAUAUGAAUCCACUCACCCAGUAUGGAAGAAGGUAGAGUAUAGUGAAGGUGAGAGUUUUUGAUUGUAAUCAGGAGAGAGGGAUGUAAUUGCAUAAAGAUACGCCUAACCCUUUAAACAGAAAUGAAGGAGGAUCUAGGGUUGUGGUAUGGAUAUGACCAGGUCUUGGUCGACACCCUAGUACGGUUCUGGGUAGAGGAGUUUAGGCCGGUAUGGUAAAGCUGUUCACGAAAGCAGGAAUGCCAGAUAAUGACAGUUGUAUUGAUUUGCACUAUUUAUAUCCCCAGGUUCCCCUUAAAUCAAGACUUCCUCCCUUUACAGUGACCGGAGGAGAUUAUUACCGUUUGGCCCGGUACAGUACUCUUGGGAAAUGAUGUCAGGGCGAGGUUUUACCGACAGAUUGGACAGGAUUAUGCUCCAUUGUACAUUUGAGAAUGCAUUUCACACUCAUUCAACACCAAGACAUGAAGUAUAGCCAGAUGGGAGAAAAGAGCUACUCCAUCCGGGUCUCUUAUUGACAAAGUAUACAUUGAUAACAUUGGGGUUCCACGGACGAGGACUGGAUUAAUUAUAUUUAUUAUAAUCAACAGCGCUUUAACAAUUAUACCAGAGAUGCUAUUAAAGGUUUUGCAGAACAGACUGAAGCAACCAGCCGGAUGGCUUGGCAGAAUAUAAUUGCAUUAGAUAUGUUAAUGGCUGAAAAGGGAGAAGUAUGCGUGAUUAUCGGGACCAUGUUUGUGCUUACAUCCCAAAUAACACAGCUCCGGACGAAUCAGUGCCCGAAGCCUCAGCUGGUUUGACCACCCUGGCUCACGGUUUGGCAGAAAACUCUGGGGUGGAUACUUCUCUGACUAAUUGGGUUUGAUAGUAUGUUCAGAAAAUGGGAAAAAAUAUUAUGAUCACUGUAUUAUGGGCUACAUUCACCUGUGUGACUGUUUAGUUUUAUGGGGCUGUUGUCUAAUUCCCUGUGUAUGAGGCCUUAUUUCCAGGACUCUGGAGAAAUCUAUGACAAUAGAUGGUGAGGUACCAGGGGAUUCCAGGUUCAGACCCGCGGAGUGCUGAUUGUAUGUCUACAGGACAAGUGGACGAAUCUGGAUCCUUCAGUUGCUGGGAAUUUAUGUUUGAAGAGACCAUUUUUGAUGUUUAGGGAGGCUAGGUUGCAUCCCAUCUCAAUAUUAGACAGUUUUUUUAUGAAGAUUGUAACGAAAAUCCUGAUAAGAAGAGUUAUGAUUCUGAUGUAGGCCUGAGAAACAGUUAUGGCGAAUGCAAGUAUGGGGUUAUGUUUAGGUGAUGUUUUGAUGACAAGAAAUAUCUCUAAUAAAAAUAGAAAUAGGCUUUUUAAUAAUACAAUAUAACUUGUGAUUGAAUGUAUAAUAUUUAAUCAAAGGGUGGAUAUGUUAAGGGAAUUUUUAUCAAUGAUGACUAAUUAUGUAUACAUUUCAAUCAGGACUGAAUAAUCUGAAUACUGUUAUGUCACUGUACAUGUAUGAAUUUUCUCUCUUGCUCCCAGUAUUGAAUAUAAUGUAGUCAAGAGUUUAGAACAACGAUGGCCUGUUCCUUGGUACAAAUAAAUGAACUGUCUCCAGACCGUCUAGAAUGCUUAUCUACACUGACUGACCUUGGCUCUAGGCGAGGAGGGAAGGCUUGAGAUCUAUAGAGCCUUUCUACCAGUGUCAAGAAGAGACGGAACAUUUAGAAAACGCUGACGUCAUUUUCAGUUUAUAACCUGUGGUAAAAUGUGUAUGACUCAGUACUCUCUUGAAUUAAAGGCUGUUACUUGACUUUUAA